CCUCCUCUUCUUGGCGGGGAUCGGGUGUGCGGUCUCAUCCCCGUAAUGUAUGGAGGCAGAGGGAAAGGGCUCCGCCCCUCUGGGCGUCAUGACUUCGGUGCCAACGGCUAUCCGCCAGUUCUAUCCUCAAGCGCCAGGAUACGA
ensembl:snoRNA